rnacentral:rRNA from 1 species
GACGAACGCUGGCGGCGUGCUUAACACAUGCAAGUCGAGCGGAGCGGCGAACGGGUGAGUAACGCGGGAGUAACUGCCACCCUCUCUGGGAUAACAGUUGGAAACGGCUGCUAAUAACGGAAAGAGGGGGAUGACUCGCGGCCUAACAGCUUGUGGGUGGGGUAGUGGCCUACCAAGGCGACGACGGGUAGCCGGCCUGGGAGGGCGACCGGCCACAUUGGGCUGAGAUACGGCCCAAACUCCGUCGGGAGGCAGCAGUGGGGAAUAUUGCACAAUGGGGGAAACCCUGAUGCAGCAACGCGCGUGCUGGAUGACUGCCUUCGGGUUGUAAACCGCUUUCAGCCAUGACUCGGUAGUGGCAGAAGAAGCACCGGCUAACUACGUGCCAGCAGCCGCGGUAAUUC